rnacentral:misc_RNA from 1 species
CCUAAGAGCAUUUGAAUGAUAUUUCAUUUCAGUCCCUUUCCAUGAUUUCUAUAAUAAUACAGCCUGGUAACAUAUCAUCAAAAUUUGCAUGCUGAUAAGGAAAAAUGCACGCCAAGGAGACUGCCUACUGCAACACUAGAACACUCAGGCUUGCAACAAUAAGAUUGUAAAUUCCAUACUUUACAGCGGCAGUAGCUUGGUAGUAGCCAUUUUUCUUCAAAGGAAAUGUAAGAAUUUUCAUUUUUCAGACAACCAUAGAAUAUUUGACAACAUCUGAUUGAUCCAUAUGAUAACAACAUUCAUGGUAUACUUAAGUCUUAGCAAUCUUAAGACAUAAGAUUAAAAAUACAAGUGAAUGGCUAACCACAACAGUUAUUCUUCUGCUGGAUUGGCUGCCCUUUCAUUUGAACAGUUCCUGUUGACUUACUUGCAGUUGGCUGGCUACCCAUUCUGCAUAGCAUUUACAAUGAAUUAUUUUUCUAAAAAAAAUAAAAAAGAACUGAAAGUACGUAUCAGUAUGAAAACACUCCAUUUCUACAAUAUGGGACAAGAGUGAAUUCACUUUUCACAAGUUCUCCAUGAAUCACUUUUGCAAUGCAUAUUUGCUAUGAUGUUAUUGGUCCACUGAAGGAUAGUUUUGGUUCGGAAAAUUAUAUAAGAUAAUGAUGUUAAAUAUAGCCAAAUGAUAAAUCUAAGCAGGUAAAGAUGGCAACAUAAGUACUUGAACAAUACAUAAUAAUUUCUAAAAAAAAUCAUCAUACACAAAAACAAUAAAGCACAUGGAAAAAGAGCAGCAGGAAAAGUUCAUCAGUAGUUUUACUUUUUCUUAAUUUCUCCGGCCAUGGUCAAGAAAGCCUGCUCCACAUUAAUUGAAUCUUUAGCACUAGUCUCUAGGAAAGGAAUUUCAAGCUCAUCUGCGAAUGCCUGCAUUUUGUUUGGGUACAGGAAAGCAAGAAAAACUUAAACCAGUAAACACCAUAAUCAGAUUACAAUAAGACUAUGUCUUUUUCAAUGUGUCCUUCAAGUAAUCAAAUUCACAGAUAUUCAAUUCAUUCUCUGGGCACAAGUUAUCAAGUUCACCUAAUUCAGGCUAUUCAAUUAACCUCAAAGGUCACUGCUUCAUUGAAAGUUUAAACCAACAAAGAACUCAAAUGCAUCUAAAGAAUCUUUUUAUUCCUUGCAUAUCAAAAUACACAAGCUACAAAUACCUCUUUGAUAUGGAUAUGCUAUGCAAAAAUACACCCUUUAAAAGGAAUUUUCUCACCAUUUCAAGAAAUGUGGCUCAAUGCAUCUUUACCUGUUUCAGUAAGAUUGACCAAGCGUAAAAGCUUUUGUCAAGGAAAUAAGUAAUUAGUAAGAUAUAACAACUGCACAAGCGACCAUUUUUCCAUUUACUAUACGCUAGGAAAUAGGAGCAUGAAUUAAUAGGCAAGUUUAAUACGGUGGCUCAAAAAAGAGUUUCCCACUGUUAAGCACACUUUGUGAGAAGAAAUUAUGAACAAGAGAAUGCAUUUAAGGCAACAAUUGUAACCAGCUAUACCUUUGCAGUUUGCGUGUCCACAACCUUGUUCUCAACUAGAUCACACUUGUUUCCAACUAAAAGUUUGCACACACUAUCAUUUGCAUAUCUAUCAAUCUCAUUUAACCACUGCUUGACAUUGUUGAAGCUCUCCAUCUCGGUAACAUCAUAUACUAUCUGUGAUAAUCGCCAUGCAAAUCACAAAUCUCUUUAUAUGGGAGAUUAAGAAUUGAAACAACAUGAAAACAAAGUAGUACAAACAUACCAUUCAGAAAAUCAUGCCAUAGUAUCCCCCAAUUAUAAUCCUUAUUAUCAAUACAAACAAGUAAAAAGGAUGCAGGCAAAAAGUAAUUUAAAGCAUGGAAGCCAGAAUCAACCAACGUAAAUUAGUAAUCCACAAAAUGCUACAGCAUAAUCAUGUGCUGAUAACAAAGAUACAAGCAUAAGCAGUAAGAAACCCAAGUUCAUUUGAAGCUUAAGUUUAUUUUCUGAAAGCGAUGAAGAAUAAUGGCCAUUUAAUCUAACAAUAAGCCCUGUGGGGAAAAAUAGCGGGGCAGUUUUGGGUGAUAAAUGAUCAAAACCCAUCAAUGGGAAGUCACAGAGAGGCGAAUUGGAGGAGGGGGGAAGGGGUUCAUGAAGCUCUCUGGCUAAAAUCGAUUGUGCAAAGUUGUUAUCACUUAUCACUCAUCUUUAUGUUCUAUAAGUGUUAAUGCAGCCAAAUCUUACUCCUUCAGCCUUCAGGUUAGAAGCAUUUACAUCAUGAAAACCCAGCCUACAACAUGUAAUUUGCAGGGAAGCUAGGAUCUUUCAAAAUUCCAACAUGAUGAUACUACAACGAACCAAGGAUCAAACACAAUAUAAAAUUUUCUGCUUCCAUAUAAUAGCAAGCCAUAAUUUCUUACUAUUAUCCCAUGUGCACCUCGGUAAUAACUACUUGUUAUAGUCCGGAAACGCUCCUGUCCAGCAGUAUCCCACUAAAGAAACAAAUAAAAAAAAAUUAGGUCAAAUUUGAAGUAGAAUCGUGAAAUAUAUUUGGAACAAUAAAAUAAUGCGCAUUUCUUUUCCUGCCAAGUUUAGAGACCCAAAUCUAAUAGUGUUACGUGAUUUCUAGUUUGCCAUGGUACGCGGCAUGGGCAUAGAUAUGGAUACGCAAAUAAUUGGUGAUAUGGUGGGGUAGGUUUAAUUGAUAUACUACAUGGGAUUGCAGUACACUUAAAUAUAUUGCUCAAUUCAUUUUGAAUUAUAUGCAUGAAAAAUAUGUAAUUCAAAGCAACUAAUUUAUAAAAUUUAAGCUAUAUGUGUAUGUAAAAUUCAAAUAAUAAAAAGCAAAAAAGAAUCAAUUAAGUAUUCUAUUUAAUUAAAACAAUUAUUUUUUAUUUCGUAUAUUAUUUCCUAGAAGCAAUACACAUCUCUGAGGAUUUAACCUAAAAUCAUUUAGAGUGGAGAAAGAAAAUCCACAUAGCCGACCCUAAAUUUUUGGGA